rnacentral:rRNA from 1 species
GACGUAGGGUGCAAGCGUUGUCCGGAUUUACUGGGCGUAAAGAGCGCGUAGGCGGCUCGUUACGUGAGAAGUGAAAGCUGUGGGCUCAACCCACAAACCGCUUUUCAUACUGGCGAGCUGGAGUGAUGCAGAGGUGGAUAGAAUUCCUGGUGUAGCGGUGAAAUGCGUUGAUAUCAGGAGGAAUACCCAUGGCGAAGGCAGUCCACUGGGCAGCAACUGACGCUGAGGCGCGAAAGCGUGGGGAGCAAACAGG